AGAUAUUGCCAAUUCGGCAGUUCGAUCUAUGAUUUCACAUUCAUGGACGUUGAUAAGAUCCUUCCAUUUAGUAGCACCUUAGGAUGGCAUAGCCUUAACAUUAAUGGCGAGGUUCAAAAGAGGAAAGGCUUGCGGCGGAUACCUAGGCACCCAGAGACGAGGAAGGGCGUAGCAAGCGACGAAAUGCUUCGGGGAGUUGAAAAUAAGCAUAGAUCCGGAGAUUCCCAAAUAGGUUCGUUAAGAUAUGUUAUCCAGACCAACUCCCACGUAGAAAACCAAGAGCAGUGA
rnacentral:rRNA from 1 species